ACCAAAUCCGACGGCGUUUUGCA
rnacentral:siRNA from 1 species